GGUCACGUGACCAGCGAUGCUUAUAGAUGGCGACGGAGAGGAGGUUAGUAGCAGCUCGAAACCCGUGCCCUCGGUAUUUCUGCUCUGUUGCGGCCCAUGAUCAGGUCACUGUUGUUGUGUGACACUAAGACUUGUGUCAACAGUAGUUUGGUAGGGAUUCACUUCCUGGCAGAGAGAGUGUCUUUUACCAUUUGGACAGUGGAUUUACAAAGACAAUUAAAAAAUGGAACUUGGACCAU
rnacentral:lncRNA from 1 species